rnacentral:lncRNA from 1 species
AGGCAACCACGCAAGUCUGUAUUACAGUGUUCUCUUGCCUCGUAAAGGGUUGCUUGAAAAGUCCAGACUUUUCAAGAAACUUUGUCCAGGUCUUGAUAAAAAAGAAGCCCAGAAGGCCAGCAGAGACAUUGAGGGAAGGUAUGAUACCAGUUGUAAGAUUGAGCUUCAUUACUAUGACGCAGAACAAAAUGCUCAACACGAAGCUCACCACAAGGGCCCUCAGUGUCAGCUGAUUCCUCCAUGAUGGCACAUCUUGGUUCUCAAAUAUUCUUUCCACUGACAACUCUUCUUCUUGUUCCUCUUUCUUGUCCUUCUUUCUGUGAUCAUGAUCAUCCUCCAAAUCAUGAUCAUUCUCUACCUUGGCGUCGUCUCUUUCAUUACGUUCCAUUUUAUUUUCUUAAAAGAAUGAUUCUUUAUGGAGACGAAGAGAGUUGGGAGUGUGUUUAAUAAGUGGUUGUGAUUAUUGCUCAACGCAUCACAAGCGAAUUGAAGACGAUGAAUAUGAGGAGUUAAAAGUUAAAACGGGUUGUUGUAGUGAGUUUAACCUGUCUGUUUUUUUAGGUUAUUUUUUUUAAUUUUAAAUUAAUUUUUUUUUAAUUUUUUGAAUUAUUUUAAUAUAUUAAUAUUAAAAAUAAAUUUUAAAAUAUAAAAAAUAUAUUAUUUUAAUAUUUUUUAUCGAAAAUUAUUUUAAAAAAUAAUUAUUAUUAUAUUUUUAAACACUCUUUAAAAUAACAAAAUGACUCUAAAUGAAAUGUGUUUUAGUUAAGUUUGUAAUUUUUAUAUAUGUAAUCUGUAGGUACUUUUAAAGAAUUAGACUAGAAAUAUAAUAGAAAUUAUUUUUAAAAUAAUCUAAAAAUAUGUUUUUAAUAUUUUUUUGAAUUAAAAUUAAUAAUUAUUUUCAAAACAAUUUGAAAAUAAAAAAAAUUAAUUUUAAAAAGGAAUGUUUUAAGCAAGUUACCAAAUGGCCACUGAAUCCAAUGCCAAAAGCUUCUAUUUCUAAUUUGUGGAAGACGAGAAGUCAAUAGUCAAUUUCCAAAAAAUUAAAAAAAAAAUAAAGGGAAAAUAAAAGAUCUGUGAAUGUCCAUUGUCCAAAGUUUGUGGGAAAAAAAUGAUAUAAGAAAUAAAGAAAAUGAUAUUAAAUUACUUAAAGAAGCUAGACUAGAAUAUAGUUGAAUUUAAAACAAUUUAAAAACACUAUUUUAAUAGUUUUUAAAUUAAAAAUAAUUUAAAAAAUAAUUAUUACUAAACUCCCAAAAACCUUUAAAACAACAAAGUAACCUUUCACAUGUGUUUGAGUUAAUUAAUUUUAAAUAAAAUAAAACAAACUUUUAAAAAGGAAUGUUUUAAGCAAGUUACCAAAUUGCCACUGAAUCCAAUGCCAAAAGCUUCUCUUUCUAAUGUAGAAGGCGAGAAGUCAAUAGUCAAUUUCCAAAAAAUUAAAACAAAAUAAAAGGAAAAUAAAAAAUCUAUGUAGGUCUAUUGUCCAAAGAUUGUGGGAAAAUAAAAAAUCUAUGUAACGUGCGUGGAAGAUUUAAAGAAUGUCCAAUUAAUUAUUGUAUAAACGUUGGUUUUUUCCUUCUCAACGUAAUUAAUUAGAGAUGAUUUUUCUAAUUACUUGUUUACUAAAUUCAUAGCACAAAUCAUGCAAUCUUGCAGAGAAAUUUGUUAAGUAAAAAUAAGAUAAGCAAAUAAAAAAAAUACGAGUUUACAAUAAAUAAUAUAACGUUAUUUAAUUUAAACUUAUCUCUAAAAAAACAAUGCAGGACCUUACAAAGCAUGAGAUUGAAGAUGAGUUAUAAACAAAUCAUAACCACAGCAAGAUGGAGAGUUGAGGGAUUCUAUGAUAAUUAACUUUGAAUAUAUUUGCAUGGGGAAGAACGUAUGAUCCAAAUGAUAACCUCUUUAUGUAGUUCGCUCCCUCUGGGCUUAGAUGCCAUUAAGACUACGGAAAUGCUUUGUCUAUUUUUCAGCUUCUUUUCAUGUUCUUAGGACAAACCUUCAACAUAUUUGUUACAAGUCUCAUAUUCGCUGAAGCUUUUAUCGUCUUCCUCGACGCAUCUGAUAUUUUUUCCAUCUUUUUUCUUUUCUCGUGUUGGAUAACUAAGUCUGGCAUGGUUUUAUUGUGAGACUGAUAAUAACUAGAAGGCCAUUCCAAUGCCACAUUGGACCACCUGAUAUGAUCAUAGCUAGCAAAAUGAGCAAACCUGAUACCAAAUAUAGCAACUGAUCAUAAGAGCUCACAAAGGGUACUGUCAUUUUCACUUUUCACAUUGCUUGAUGCAUCUGUUCUACUAUCUUCUUCAAACUAGACAAGAAAAAAACUACAAGCACAUAUAAGUAAGGGGACAUUUGAUUUUCUUCUCCAGAAAUGAUUACAGAGAAAAUAGUUGUAGCCUUGUUGGCUCCACGGAAUAGCAGGUGAUUAUCCACAGCAUUUUUGAGUCGAACUUCACAUGUAAACUUCAUAACCUUAGUGUAGGAAGCAAUUCAGCUUUACUUCACAGUUUCUAUUCAAGUUGAUCUGAACUUCAACUUUAUGACCCUAAGAACGCAUCGACCUUGGCAUUUGUUCCCCUUGACAAAAACUUCAUGCAAAUGGGAGGUUUUACUCCUACUAGAGCAAGUAUCGCACUAGGCAAAGUCCAUAUCCCAUCCCCGCAAAUCAAACCAGAAGCCACUGCUGGCCCAAAAGCAUCUGCCUUUGCCUUGUCAAUCUUUUCCCAGAUAAAUAGAAUCAAGCUUCCCACACACAUGUCGAUGGCAAAGUAUGGGCCAAUAUAGAACGGUAUAGCCAUCGCCAUUGGAUUGGGAAUGAACCUGGCCCAUUUCUUACCCAAAGCAUCCUUAAUUAAAUUUAUCAGAAUAGCUGCACCGAAGAACCCAUAACAAAGAUAGAGGCAAUUCUUUGGUAGAGACGAGAAUCCGUCUACCCCCAAUAUAGCCAUGUUUCGAUAUACAGUAGCAUAAGGAGCAGGGUAUUGACUUCCAGGAGUCCCCAGAUCCUUGAAGGCCUUGAAAAACAGCCAAAAGACACAAGGUGAAAUAAUGCAACCCAUUGCAGUGCCAAUUAGUUGGCUCACAAACAUGGACCGAGGUGAAGAAAGGGUCAAAUAACCAGUCUUGAAAUCUUGAGAUAGGUCAGAGGCUGUGGAGACAAUAUUCAUCAUGACUCCACAGGCCGCUAGUCCUGCAAGAACUCCACCAUGAGAGGCACCAGCCCAUGCCCCAAUUACAAAAAUUGCAAGCUUCCCAUAGGUGGAAGCUAGGGACCAGUCAGUGAGGCCACAGCCAUAAGCAUUACAGAAUGCAAGGGCUGGGGCAAAGAUGUAGAUAACCAAUAUGUAAUACCAUUUGAGUUCGGGAAAUAUAUGCGGUAGCGUGGCUGUAGAGAUAGCAGCAAUUGCGACAUAGCCUGCAACAGCAAACCAUGUUGGAAUUUGAUCUUUGAGAAAGAGUUGGGUGCGGCGUUGAUCAUUGUAUGAGAUCCUGGAGGUCUCGGGAGAGGAACGGUCCGCAAUAGGGAGGGCACCAGUUGCAUCUUUCCUUUGAAGUUGAAAAAACAAGACAGUGAGUGUUCGGCUUAGCACCUUGAAGAAGUUGUACAGACCGUCACCCAAGAUCAUGGCAAUGGCAAUAAAUACCUGAGUUCAUUGCACAAGAGUUGUUAUGAAUGAAAAGGCUUCAAGAAUAGCACUCUUGUCACCUUAAUCUUGUUAGAAAACUUACCUUGUAACCUUGGAGGCCAUGUAAGCUGCCUGGUUUGAGGUCUGCUGGAUACCAGUCACCCUUUUUUGUAUCUAUGAGAGGCCACAUGAGACCCCAGGAAAGAAUUCCUCCAAGCAAAACUGAUAUGUUUAUGAUGUAGGGGCAAAUCAUUCCAACUCCAACAUAUGUUGCUGAGAAAUCAAAGAAAAAUCUGUACAUAUAACAAGAACAUUAUUAGUCAAAGAUACCACAACGAAUUUGAAACAGAAUGCCAUAACAAAUGGAACUACAUUCAACAAGAAGAGAGGAUUUUGGAAGAUUGAGUAAUGCUUUUACUUGUUUUCAUGUGCUUUAAGACCAAGUGAGGGGAACUCGGCAAAUCCACAACCAUCUCCUGCAGUGUAGAACCACUGAAAGAAACCCCACAAGAAGCUGAAUGAUAAGAACUUGCCCAACGCUAUCACUUGUUUUCUGAAACGGUAGAAAGAAAAAAGUUUGAUACUUUUACAUGCCGAAUGAUCAUCCAACUAUAUGUGCAUGAGGUCUGAUAAUGCCUUACUUUGCUAGCUUGGCUCCUGCAGGAGUGUGGAAGCUGUUGAUGAGAUAAGCAGUUGCAGUGCCACUUGGAUAUGUCAAUUUGAAGUCUAUAAUCAUGACCUGGAAAUAACCAGGGUAACAAUGAAGAUUUGAUUUUGGCAAAAUCAAUACAUUCAACAAGAAAGCAAAAUUCAGAGAGAAGUUUUCUAUUUCCUAUACGAAAUUGAAUGGCGAUAUAGGUUGUGAAGUCUACCUUUCGAAGAGGCACCACUGAAAAGAGUCCAAGAAAGCUAACAACAAACAGAAAGCCAAUCAUCCAUGACAGAGAUGGGUUCUUAAAGGCAUCACUAUCUUCCGUUGAUUGUUUGGCCACGGUUCCACUCAUUCCAAACAGAUAACUCCCAAAGCCUCCUAUUGUAAGGAAACAAGAAACAAAUUAUAGAAUGGAAACUAUUAGUACAAAAAAUCAACAAGCUUAAUUUCAUCUUGAGCAUAAUCACAAAUUAUUUCUUUCGUUACAACAAUUUCAGUUUCGAGACCACUUGGAUGAAAAGCUGGAAAUGUAGUGUAUUCAAAUUAAUUUUACAUGAUGAAAGCUAGAUUAACAGUACAAACAAAUUAAUUAUUCAUAUAUUCUUUUCUCGCUAAUGGGGAAGACUUCUUUUUCCGCUAAUCAGAAUAUUCUUACAAGACUUGUAUAACUUUGAAGUUAGCGAAUCAUCCAUAUCCAGCUCAUAUGAAUUGAAAAGAAAAAUAAAACGCCACCAUUAUCACACUCCAUGAGACAGGGAAAAGCUAGUAAAGAAAAAUUACAGACCAUUUAAUUAAACUUUUUUACUCAAGUAUAUUUGUUCACGUCUCAAACAGCAAGUUCAAGUGUUGAUUAGUUUAGUAAAAUUUCACAAGUGGCUGAAGCAAUAGCAGAACUGAUAGUCAUAAAAAAAGGGUUGCCUUAUCAUGUAAUAUAGCAAUAAGAAGAAGCAAAUCUUGACUUUGAGUUUUAGUAACUACUGUAAGUUUCCAACCUUUAAGAACAGAGACAAAACCAAAUGCACAGAAAUUUUAAUAUCUUGAUCAAAGAAGCCUGCAUAUCUUCUCAACCCAAAAAGUAAGAGAGAUUAAAUGAAAAUUAAUGGCAGUAAGAAGUACAGAAAGUAUACCACUAAAGGCAAUGCCAGAGGAUGCAACCACACAAGUCUGGAUAACAGUGUUUUCUUGCCUCGUAAAGGGUUGCUUCAAAAGGCCAGACUUUUCAAGAAACUUUGUCCAGGUCUUGAUAAAAAAGAAGCCCAGAAGGCCAGCAGAGACAUUGAGGGAAGGUAUGAUACCAGUUGUAAGAUUGAGCUUCAUUACUAUGACGCUGAACAAAAUGCUCAACACGAAGCUCACCACAAAGGCCCUCAGUGUCAGCUGAUUCCUCCAUGAUGGCACUUCUUGGUUCUCAAAUAUUCUUUCCACU